rnacentral:tRNA from 1 species
GUGAGUUUAGGUUAAUUACAAACUUGAAAUCUUCAAAAUUUUAGAUGAAUAUAGUCUUAUUCAAUUCAUA